rnacentral:lncRNA from 1 species
AACAAACUUCUCAGAUAAUCACUCUCUGAUUAAUUCAAAAACAUUGAAGAACCUACUGUCUAUAAGCUAAAAACAGGUUAGAAGGUUGUAUUUUGUUGCAUUAUUAGUAAUUGUCUGUGUUCAUGGGCACUACGUUAAAAAAAAAAAAUUAUUUUCAUCAAUUUUGAUGAUUUUUCAUCGUAGAAGAACAUAUAUAAAAAAAUCACAAAUAAACUAGUUCUUAGUUAUUUUUUCAGAAAACUAACUAAUUUAAACUAACUAAUCUAAUCUAAAACUAACUUGUUUUUCCCACCCCUUGACAACCUCACUCUUUCGAUGUGACCUUUUUUUUGACUUUCAACUUUUACCCUCAUUCUUUUUCAAAGUACAAUUUUGUCAUUUAACCCUUUUAUUCUUUUUUUAAUACCCCUUUAUUCUUUUUUUUAAUACACAUUGAUUUUUUUUUUUUACUUUCACUUCUGAAUUUUUAUAUAUAUAAAAAAUUAUGAUAAAAUUGUAUAACCCCUUUAUUUAUUUUUUUAAUACCCCUUGAUUCUUAUUUUUUUUUUACUUUCACUUCCAAAAUUUUUAUAUAAAACAAAUUAUGAUAAAAUUUUAUAAUUUUUUUACUCCGACCUUAUGUUUUUUAUAAAAGAAAAAAAUAUGGAUCAAAAUUUUUAAUAUUUUUUUAAAAAUUUCGAUGAGUUGAUAGUUAUAUGUUAUUUGAGAUGAUUUCUUGAAAAAUUAAUAAGUUUAAUUUUUAGUAGUUUUGAUUUAAUUAUAAAAAUAAUAAAAAAAAUAAUAACUUUUAACAUACAAUACAGUAGUAAAUUCAACAUUACAUAAGAACAUAACUUUUAAUCAAUAUCUCCUCCAAAAGGAAAUUAUAUAUUUUUUGAUAAUUAUUUUUAUAUAAAAAAUUCAGAAGUGAAAUUACAUAAAAAAAUCAGGGGUAUUAAAAAAAAAGAUUCAAAUAAAAAAUCAAUAAGGUGGGACUAAAAAGAAAUUAUAAAUUUUAUCAUAAUUUUUUUUAUAUAAUAUAACUCCACAUAAGUCAAAUCAAGUCAAUCUGAAUAAGACUAUCUGUAUUUAAUUUUCUCCACCUGUUACCGGCAUACCAAUAAUUGAGUCACUCCUCUCGUUCAUCAGAGUAACCUUUUGAUCUCGCUUUAUAUCACCGAUAACAAAAUAAAAGAUUCAAUGCCCUAUAAUUUUAUAAUUCAAAUCCGUUGGAUUCUCAUUAAUGGUAGUAAUUAUAAACCUAUUAAAAUUUCAAGGCGAUCGGGAACCAAUUUUUCAGUGUUGAUUUUUCACAUAACACGUUCGUUAUCUACCCGUCACCACUUGAUGGAAAUUCGUCCGUCAUUCUAACUUUUAGAAUUAGGUUCCAAUCUGACCCUAUAAAUUGAUCCACGAAACACUGAAAAACAUACGAAAACGAUAAUUCACACAACUAAAAAUUCAUACCGAUUGACCAAUUUUCAAAUAGGGUACACUAUCACUUUUUAUAGGCAUACUACACUGGAUAAUUUUCAGUUUUGGUGGACACCAUUAACAUAUCAGGAAGCGUCGGCUCUCUGUUUUGUUUUCAAUUUCAUCAGCUUUGCAAGAGCUUGUGCAUACACACACACUAAUCCUUUUCAACGAAUUAACGUAUUUUGAAUAAUAUGCUCCAUUUUCAAUAAAUUCUCAUCUUUCACUUUCUCUCUCUACAAUUCUAAUUUCUAUAUACCCACUUGCAUUAAAUUCAAUUAUUUCAGAAGCAUAAUUUCUUAUUUGUCCACUAAUUCAAAAUCUCACAAUAUUGUAUUCCCCAAUACUAAUUUAAUUCAAAUAAAAUUAUAAAUAGAGAGAAGCUAAUUUCAUUGCUACAAUAAGGGAUCAACUUUCCAAUUUGAGUUUUUCCAUUUUUUCCUGUCUUCCUCUUUCUCUUCUUUCUUCCUUCCCCUCUUAUUCUCUCUCUCUUGCUCUCGUCUCUCACCUCUGUUUUCUUUCUUUCUUCCUUUUGAUUGUAAACUAAAUUUAUAUAUAUAUAUCAUAUAUGAUAAGGAACAAGGAAAGAGCAACGGGUGAGUGCCCAUAGCACAACCAAUUUUGGUUAAAUCACACUUUUUUCCCUUUACUUUUAAAUGUCUUUAAUUAUUUCAAAAGUUUUGAAUCUUUCAAUUUAAACCCCACACUCACACACUCCACAUGUUUAACAAAGUACCUCACCAAUCACUUAAUAGUAUAAUUAAUCUACCCCCCCACUUAGGCUAAUCAUAGAUUGGUCAUGGACUUAAGCUAAUUAUUACACCACACCAAACUCACAUUCAUUAAACUAAAGCUAAUUAAAUACCUCAAUUAGCAUAAUCGCCUUAUCUAAAUGCAUGCAAUUAAGCUAAUUAUGAAGUUUAGGGAUUAGGGUCUCACAUGUGUGUAAUAAUAAUAUUAAAUUUUACAUGAAAUUCUCGGGUAUUGGGGCUUAAUAACAAGUUUGGAGGGAUAAAGACCACGUUGAUGAUAACAUUAUGUCACAAUU